rnacentral:rRNA from 1 species
UACGUAGGGGGCGAGCGUUGUCCGGAAUCACUGGGCGUAAAGCGCGUGUAGGCGGCUCGGUAAGUCUGCUGUGAAAGUCCAGGGCUCAACCCUGGGAUGCCGGUGGAUACUGUCGAGCUCGAGUCCGGAAGAGGCGAGUGGAAUUCCUGGUGUAGCGGUGAAAUGCGCAGAUAUCAGGAGGAACACCGAUGGCGAAGGCAGCUCGCUGGGACGUGACUGACGCUGAGGAGCGAAAGCCAGGGGAGCAAACGGG